GCUGGAGAGAGCUCAAUGGUUAAGAGCACUUGCUGCUCUUCCAGAGGACCUGGGUUCAAUUCCCAGCACCUACA
rfam:Neotoma lepida isolate 417 scaffold_1006, whole genome shotgun sequence.